rnacentral:tRNA from 1 species
AGGCCUGUAGCUCAGCUGGUCAGAGCAUCGUUCUGAUAAGGCGCAGGUCGUUGGUUCGAAUCCAACCAGGCCUA